CGGACGGGUGAGUAAUGUCUGGGAAACUGCCUGAUGGAGGGGGAUAACUACUGGAAACGGUAGCUAAUACCGCAUAACGUCGCAAGACCAAAGAGGGGGACCUUCGGGCCUCUUGCCAUCGGAUGUGCCCAGAUGGGAUUAGCUAGUAGGUGGGGUAAAGGCUCACCUAGGCGACGAUCCCUGCUGGUCUGAGAGGAUGACCAGCCACACUGGAACUGAGACACGGUCCAG
rnacentral:rRNA from 1 species